GUAGGGAGCAAGCGUUGUCCGGAAUCAUUGGGCGUAAAGCGCGCGUAGGCGGCCCCGUAAGUCCGCUGUGAAAGUCAAAGGCUCAACCUUUGAAAGCCGGUGGAUACUGUGGGGCUAGAGUCCGGAAGAGGCGAGUGGAAUUCCUGGUGUAGCGGUGGAAUGCGCAGAUAUCAGGAGGAACACCGAUAGCGAAGGCAGCUCGCUGGGACGGUACUGACGCUAAGGCGCGAAAGCGUGGGGAGCGAACAGGAUUAGAUACCCUGGUAGUCCACGCCGUAAACGAUGGGCACUAGGUGUGGGAGGUGUCGACUCCUCCCGUGCCGUCGCUAACGCACUAAGUGCCCCGCCUGGGGAGUACGGCCGCAAGGCUAAA
rnacentral:rRNA from 1 species